rnacentral:rRNA from 1 species
AGGACGAACGCUGGCGGCGUGCUUAACACAUGCAAGUCGAACGGUAAGGCCCCUUCGGGGGUACACGAGUGGCGAACGGGUGAGUAACACGUGAGCAACCUGCCCUUGACUCUGGAAUAACAGUUGGAAACAGCUGCUAAUACCGGAUAUGACCUCGAUCGACAUCGAUCUUGGUGGAAAGCUCCGGCGGUCAAGGAUGGGCUCGCGGCCUAUCAGCUUGUUGGUGAGGUAACGGCUCACCAAGGCUUCGACGGGUA